rnacentral:rRNA from 1 species
GACAGAGGGUGCGAGCGCUAAUCGGAAUUACUGGGCGUAAAGGGUGUGUAGGCGGUUAAAUAAGUUAGAUGUGAAAGCCCUGGGCUUAACCUAGGAAUAGCAUUUAAUACUGUUUGACUGGAGUGCAGUAGAGGGGAGUGGAAUUUCCGGAGUAGCGGUGAAAUGCGUAGAGAUCGGAAGGAACACCAGUGGCGAAGGCGACUCUCUGGACUGUUUCUGACGAUGAGACACGAAAGCGUGGGGAGCAAACAGG